AUUACAUUGAUUGAAUUUUUGAAUAUUGAACCAGCUUUGCGUAUUUGGCAGAAAUUUUACUUGGUUGUGGUAUGUAAUUCUUUUUACACAUUGUUGGAUUCAAUUUGCUAAUAUUUUGUUGAGGAGUUUUAUAUCGAUGUUCAUGAGAGAUACUGGUCUAUAGUUUUUCUUUCUUGUAAUAUCUUUAUCUGGUUUGGCUUUAGGGUAAUGCUAGCCUCAUAGAAUGAGUUGGGAGGUGCUCCUUUUGCUUCUGCAGUUGUUGCCCUUUAUCCAAAGGAGGAUAUGUUCCAAGACCCCUAGUGGAUACAAUAUUUUAAAUAAUUUUGUGCAUGAAACAAAGAGUUUUGACUGUGACUUAUCACAUGAGGUCAGGUGGGUCAUUCAUUGUCCAAAUGUUUCAGGUUUUGCAACAUUUUGGAUUUUCAGGUUAUGGAUGUCAGCCUUUAUACACUAUGUUUUUUCCUAUACUUACAUACCUAUGAUAAAGUUUAAUUUAUAAGUUAGGCAUAGUAAGAGAUUAACAACAAUAACUAAUAAUAAAAUACAGCAGUUAUACUAUAAUAAAAGUUAAGUGAAUGUGGUCUCUCUUUCAAAAUAUCUUAUUGUGCUGUACUUACCCUUCUUGUGAUGAUAUAGCACAGCUGCAGUUGACUGUACGUGCCUAAAACUGAAGAAAGCAAAACUGCAGAUAAAGGAG
rnacentral:lncRNA from 1 species